rnacentral:rRNA from 1 species
AUCGAACGUUGGCAGCGUGGAUUAGGCAUGCAAGUCGGACGAGAAUUUUAUAAUGGAUCCUUCGGGUGAAGUUAUAAGAGGACAGUGGCGAAAGGGUGAGUAUCACGUGAACAACCUGCCCCCUAGUUGGGGACAACAUCUGGAAACGGAUGCUAAUACCGAAUGUGGUCUCUUGUCGCAUGGCGAGAUGACUAAAGAUGGGGAUCCUUCGGGACCUGUCGCUUGGGGAGGGGUUCGCGUCCUAUCAGUUUGUUGGUGAGGUAAUGGCUCACCAAGACUAAGACGGGUAGCCGGCCUGAGAGGGUGAUCGGCCACACUGGGACUGAGACACUGCCCAGACUCCUACGGGAGGCUGCAGUCGAGAAUCAUUCGCAAUGCGCGAAAGCGUGACGAUGCGACGCUGCGUGGAGGAUGAAGGCCUUCGGGUUGUAAACUCCUGUCAUAAGGGAAAAAUUGCGCGAUGGUUAAUAACUGUUGCGUUUGAUGGUACCUUAAGAGGAAGUCACGGCUAACUCUGUGCCAGCAGCCGCGGCAAUACAGAGGUGGCGAACGUUGAUCGGAUUUACUGGGCGUAAAGGGUGCGUAGGCGGUCGUGUAUGUCGGAUGUGAAAUCCCACUGCUCAACAGUGGAACUGCAUUCGAAACUGCACGACUUGAGUACAUGAGGGGAUAGGGGAAUUCUUGGUGUAGCGGUGAAAUGCGUUGAUAUCAAGAAGAACACCGGUGGCGAAGGCGCCUAUCUGGAAUGUAACUGACGCUGAGGCACGAAAGCUAGGGGAGCAAACAGGAUUAGAUACCCUGGUAGUCCUAUGCUGUAAACGGUGUGCACUUGGUGUGGGGGGAAUUGACCCCCUCCGUGCCGGAGCUAACGCGUUAAGUGCACCGCCUGGGGAGUACGGCCGCAAGGUUAAAACUCAAAGAAAUUGACGGGGGCCCGCACAAGCGGAGGAGCAUGUGGCUUAAUUCGAUGCAACGCGAAGAACCUUACCAGGGCUUGACAUGUAACUGCACGCCUCCUGAAAGGGAGGAAGCUUUCGAAGGUGUUACACAGGUGCUGCAUGGCUGUCGUCAGUUCGUGCCGUGAGGUGUUGGGUUAAGUCCCGCAACGAACGCAACCCUUGUGGUUAGUUGCCACCAGAUAAUGCUGGGCACUCUAGCCAGACUGCCUGUAUCAAGCAGGAGGAAGGUGGGGAUGACGUCAAGUCAGUAUGGCCCUUACGCCCUGGGCUGCACACGUGCUACAAUGGCCGGUACAAUGGGACGCAAUACCGCGAGGUGGAGCAAAUCCUCAAAGCCGGUCUCAGUUCGGAUUGGAGUCUGCAACUCGACUCCAUGAAGUCGGAUUCGCUAGUAAUGCCGUAUCAGCUACGACGGCGUGAAUACGUUCCCGGGCCUUGUACACACCGCCCGUCACAUCAUGAAAGCCGUCUGCACCCGAAGUCGCUGUACCAACCCGCAAGGGAGGAAGGUGCCGAAGGUGUGGGUGGUAAUUGGGAUG